CGAGAGCCCUCACCGUGGGCGUGGAUCUCAUCUAGUUUUGGAGGAGCCCUCCCUCUUCUCUUCCCCGGGUUCGGAGCGGAGCAGAGCGUGGUGUUUUUCCUAGCGCACUUGGCGUGCUCUUCGGGUCGUCGUCGUCGUUACCGCGGCGUGCGCAGCACUCUGCCUGUCUCGGUGUCGGAUGUCUCCCGCCCGCCGCAACCGCCACCCCUCGCUCAUUGGCCCGGUCAAACGCGCGCGCACGCGGUACCUCCCGCCGGGCCGCUACCGAGGCCGCCGGCGCACCACCGGUCCGCGCCCCCGCCCCCGCGUCCUCGUCCUCCUCUACGCCACCGCCGUCGACCUGCCGCCGCAGUCGCGGCAGAGGAAGCCGAAGCAGCGGUGCCGGUACGAGCAGAGGUACAAGGAGCGGUACCGGCACGAGCUCGUGAAGGAGGCGCGGGGCGGGUACCCGGGCGGCCUCGGGAGCGGCGGGGCACCUGGUUCUCCCUAGGAGGAGGCGAAGGAGGCGUCGGCGGCGGCGCCACCUGGGGGUUGGCGCCUAGAGCUCCGGCGGUCCUUCGAGCUGCGGCCUACGCGCAGGGGGCUCUACGGGCACAUAAGGUUUCCGCAUAGGCAGGACUACGGUCCUGUCCUGCACGGCUGCAAGUAGCGCGUGGGGCGCGGGCGCGGGACGGGGGGUCUCGCCCAGGCUACCGGCAGCGUGGUCGGGCGAGGAAAACGGCCAAGGAGCAGCUUAUGCACGAUCGUAUACUGGCGGCCUGGCCUUGUGGCGAGACGGGGUGGUAGGUUCCCUUCCUCGUUUCCUUACCGCCGCUGCUAGGUGUCCCUCCCUCGUGUGGGGACAAGAGAAGACACCGGUACGGUGGCCAAGGGACCACCUUGCCCCUCGCCAAGAGAGGUACGCAACAUGUCAAACAAAUCUACAGACAACACCUCGUUCAAGACGACCGAGGACGACGACGGACAUAAUACCGCCCUCUCCUCGCCGAUCAGGUCACCUAGGUACCUUAACAACGGCUAGGGCGAACGAGCCGAUGAUCACAAAUCUACGAAGGCAACAGCAAACAGUAUCUCAGCAUCUACACACAGUACCUACCCACAUGUGCAGAGCACAUUAAAGCGACGUAUUUACUGAACAUCGGACACCCUGAAAGCGGGGGACCCUCUGAACCCAAGAUCUCUAAAACUUUAGAAGUAAGAUCGACAAGAACGAUCCGUCCGUACCUCCUAUAACCUUUCCCACACAG
rnacentral:rRNA from 1 species